GCAAGGAAUAGUAGGCAAUGGGCGAAAGCCUGACCUCGCGACGCCGCGUGGAGGAUGAAGGCCUUCGGGUUGUAAACUCCUUUUCUCGGGGAUGAAUAAUGACAGUACCCGAGGAAUAAGUCACGGCUAACUACGUGCCAGCAGCCGCGGUAAAACGUAGGUGGCGAACGUUAUCCGGAUUUACUGGGCGUAAAGCGUGCGCAGGCGGUCUUUCAAGUCGGAUGUAAAAUCUCUUGGCUCAACUGGGAGGGACCAUCCGAUACUGUGAGACUGGAGUGCAACAGAGGAGAGUGGAAUUCCCGGUGUAAUGGUGGAAUGUGUAGAUAUCGGGAGGAACACCAGUGGCGAAAGCGGCUCUCUGGGUUGUUACUGACGCUGAUGCACGAAAGCGUGGGGAGCAAACAGGAUUAGAUACCCGAGUAGUCC
rnacentral:rRNA from 1 species